GAUGAACGCUGGCGGCGUGCCUAAUACAUGCAAGUCGAGCGAACAGACGAGGAGCUUGCUCCUCUGACGUUAGCGGCGGACGGGUGAGUAACACGUGGGUAACCUACCUAUAAGACUGGGAUAACUUCGGGAAACCGGAGCUAAUGCCGGAUAAUAUAUUGAACCGCAUGGUUCAAUAGUGAAAGACGGUUUUGCUAUCACUUAUAGAUGGAUCCGCGCCGCAUUAGCUAGUUGGUAAGGUAACGGCUUACCAAGGCAACGAUGCGUAGCCGACCUGAGAGGGUGAUCGGCCACACUGGAACUGAGACACGGUCCAGACUCCUACGGGAGGCAGCAGUAGGGAAUCUUCCGCAAUGGGCGAAAGCCUGACGGAGCAACGCCGCGUGAGUGAUGAAGGUCUUCGGAUCGUAAAACUCUGUUAUUAGGGAAGAACAAAUGUGUAAGUAACUAUGCACGUCUUGACGGUACCUAAUCAGAAAGCCACGGCUAACUACGUG
rnacentral:rRNA from 1 species